rnacentral:rRNA from 1 species
GAUGAACGCUGGCGGCGUGCCUAAUACAUGCAAGUCGAGCGAACAGACGAGGAGCUUGCUCCUCUGACGUUAGCGGCGGACGGGUGAGUAACACGUGGAUAACCUACCUAUAAGACUGGGAUAACUUCGGGAAACCGGAGCUAAUACCGGAUAAUAUAUUGAACCGCAUGGUUCAAUAGUGGAAGACGGUUUUGCUGUCACUUAUAGAUGGAUCCGCGCCGCAUUAGCUAGUUGGUAAGGUAACGGCUUACCAAGGCAACGAUGCGUAGCCGACCUGAGAGGGUGAUCGGCCGCACUGGAACUGAGACACGGUCCAGACUCCUACGGGAGGCAGCAGUAGGGAAUCUUCCGCAAUGGGCGAAAGCCUGACGGAGCAACGCCGCGUGAGUGAUGAAGGUCUUCGGAUCGUAAAACUCUGUUAUUAGGGAAGAACAAAUGUGUAAGUAACUAUGCACGUCUUGACGGUACCUAAUCAGAAAGCCACGGCUAACUACGUG